GAUUAAGUCAAUGAAACUAAGGAAAUUCAGAACUAAAUGCAUGAAAAUCACAACACCAAAGGAACUCGUAUAAGGCAAAAGAAAACAAAAACAAACAAGCCACACCUCCAGGGAAGAUAAAGCAAAAUAAGAGGCGCGUAGCACUUUUCUUUCAGCUAUUGGUAGCUACAAGUUGGAGAUGCUGGAACAACCAGCAGGAGUUCUGUUGUUAGAGGAGACUGCAAAGAUGAAGAGGGAGAAGGAUAACAGUCGAAAGUAAAACGCGAGGGAAAGCAGCAUGGAGAUUCACUGAAGGGAGGGAAACCUUUGGAAUUGAGAGGUUUAAAAAGUGGUAUUCAGUUUACAUUAUUCCUGCUCAGUUUCAGGAAACUUAAAACAGAAAUCCAGCAGUCUUUUCAACAGUAACAGCAGGGUUGUGUGUUUUUACUGGCAGUGAAUCCAAAAUAAAGCAAGUAAAAAUAAAAAGGCAAGAGACCCAUUCAACAGAAAUGUGGUUUUGAAUCUGUGUUUACUCUGAAUUAGGAUUCCAGCUAAUGCUGAACACAGUAAACAGUUAUCUACGUAAGAACCAGAAAUUAACAACUUGCAAUAUUUCAGCAUUCAGGAAUUCAUGGCUGCAGCUGAAGGAAGGAUUCCUGCAAAGUCUCCCUGUGACAGACUGCUGAAUUGUCCAAGAUGACUUUAUCAGCUGGGCUUCUUCUCCUCUGUGGCUCAAGCUACAGCUGAGGCCAAGUGUCUGCUAAAUGGCGACAUCAGCUGCCGAGCCUCAAAGCUAUGGUGUCAUCUAUAUGUAUCUACAGGGAAGCCACUCGAUACGAAGAGGUCAUCCAGUGUGACGAAGAGACGCAGCAGCACAAAGGCUUUUCACUCUCGGGCUUAUUAGUGGAUCACAGUUUAUAUGAGACUUUGACAUCUCCUUUCUUCCCUUUUCUACCACGGCUAUUGUCUUCCCUGGAUUAAAGAGAAAUGAAAAGAAAGUAAUUUCAGACAAAUUUAAAUCUUCAAAGACUUAUUUGGGGACAGAAAUUGUCUGUGAAGAAAAAAUAGAUCCAUCUCAUUUCUAGGAUGUCUGAUUUUGCCGUUCUGUCAAAGCAGCUGGCAUCAGGCAAGACGUGCUUUACAACAAACAUAAGGACCGUGGCACAACAGUUUAUAGCAACACUAAGGCGGGGCUGUCACUUCCAGUUCAAUAUAAUCACUCUUUAAGGAGCGCAGUGCUGUGAAUUUUAAUAUUUAGAAAGAUAACUAAGUAAAUAUAAAACACAGUUUUUAAAUGAUGAUUUCAUUUAUUAAGGGAAAUAAGCUUUCCAAACCUACCUGACUCUGUAAAAAAGUAAUUUCAGAUCUCUGCAGCAAUUUUGUGCACAAGACGUUUUUCGAGGGACUUAAACAGCUUAUUUAAGGUCAUGCCAAAGGGUUUCAGUAAGAUUUAAAUUUGGACUUUGACUAGGCCACACCAAAACCCUACUUUUUUUUUUUUUGUAAACAUUUAGAGGUGGACAUGAUGGUGGCCCUGGUGCAUACUCCACAUGGGCUUCAGUUUCAGGGCGUGAACUGAUGGCUGGAAAUUUCCUUCAGGAUUUUCUUAGAGAGCAGAAUUCAUGGUUCCAUCAAUUGCAGGAAAUGGUCGGGGUCCCCUGACCUUAACUGAGACCAGUGAGGCCUGCAGUUCUUUAGAUGUUUCUCUGGUUCCUUUUGUGACCUCCUGGAUGAGUCGCUGAUACAUUCUUGAAGUAAUUUCGGUAUAUCGGCCACUCCAGUGAAGGUUCGUCACUGUUUUCUCUAUUUGUGGAUAAUGGCUCUGACUGUGAUUUACUGGAGACACAAAGCCUUAGAAAUGGCUUUGUAAUCCUUUCCCAACUGAUAGAUGUCGGUGACUUUGUUCCUCAGUUGUUUCUUUAGUUUAUAUCAUCAUGUGUUGCUUUUUGAGAUCUUUUAGCCUGAUUCAGUUUUAUCAGACAGUUUCUAUUUAAGUGAUUUCUUCAUCCAACAAGUCUGCCAGUAAACAGGUGAACUUAGCUUCCCAAAAACAAGAUUAAUCGAGUUAAUUCAUGAUUUAACAAUAGUGCUAAUUAAUUUUUCACACAGCCCCAGGUGGAUAGCUUUAAGAUGCAAAAAAACUAAUAAAUCAGGAAGAGGGCAACAAUUAUACACAACACUGUAAAUGGUGAAAAAGUGCAAAAGAGCAUAAUUGAGUCAUUUAAAAGUAAGUGAAAACAAAUAAUAUGCAAAACUUGAGAGGUUGUAGUCUCCACCAGAUGGGAGGGACUAUGUAAUCGACUCCAUUUCUCUGUUUGUCUCUAUGUUUGUUAGCAGUCUAGUGUCCACGGGUUUUAAGAUAUUAUGUUCAAAUGUUGUGCGGUGGAAGAUAUCAGUGACGUCGUGAGCUGAUUUAAUUUUGGUGAAAAUCGGAUCAAUCAAUGUCAGACCAAAUGUGAAAAGCAGUAAAAUCUUUAUAUUACACAGAAUUUUUUAUGGAUGGUCUUCAAACUUCAAAAUGCGGCUCAGUGGAGAGCGUGCUCUUCUGCUGCCUGGGUGUUUGAUACGCAGG